UACGUAGGUGGCAAGCGUUGUCCGGAUUUACUGGGCGUAAAGAGCGCGCAGGCGGUCGUUCAAGUCGCGUGUGAAAGCCCCCGGCUCAACUGGGGAGGGUCACGCGAUACUGAUCGACUGGAAGGCAGGAGAGGGUAGUGGAAUUCCCGGUGUAGUGGUGAAAUGCGUAGAUAUCGGGAGGAACACCAGUGGCGAAGGCGACUACCUGGCCUGUUCCUGACGCUGAGGCGCGAAAGCUAGGGGAGCAAACGGG
rnacentral:rRNA from 1 species